rnacentral:ncRNA from 1 species
UAAGCCCUGCAAGUUGCGAAGUCUCAAGUUCCACUUGGGAUACGAAUUUUAAAAAAUUUCAUAUCAACUGCAGGACUAU